rnacentral:rRNA from 1 species
CAGCAGUGGGGAAUAUUGCACAAUGGGCGAAAGCCUGAUGCAGCCAUGCCGCGUGUAUGAAGAAGGCCUUCGGGUUGUAAAGUACUUUCAGUUGUGAGGAAGGGGGUAACGUUAAUAGCGUUAUCUCUUGACGUUAGCAACAGAAGAAGCACCGGCUAACUCCGUGCCAGCAGCCGCGGUAAUACGGAGGGUGCGAGCGUUAAUCGGAAUUACUGGGCGUAAAGCGCAUGCAGGUGGUUCAUUAAGUCAGAUGUGAAAGCCCGGGGCUCAACCUCGGAACUGCAUUUGAAACUGGUGAACUAGAGUGCUGUAGAGGGGGGUAGAAUUUCAGGUGUAGCGGUGAAAUGCGUAGAGAUCUGAAGGAAUACCAGUGGCGAAGGCGGCCCCCUGGACAGACACUGACACUCAGAUGCGAAAGCGUGGGGAGCAAACAGGAUUAGA